ensembl:lncRNA
GUGGCUGUAUGUUAUUAGGGUAUAGAGUGGCUGUAGGGUAUAGAGUGGCUGUAUGUUAUUAGGGUAUAGAGUGGCUGUAGGGUAUAGAGUGGCUGUAUGUUAUUAGGGUAUAGAGUGGCUGUAUGUUAUUAGGGUAUAGAGUGGCUGUAGGGUAUAGAGUGGCUGUAUGGUAUUAGGGUAUAGAGUGGCUGUAGGGUAUGGAGUGGCUGUAUGUUAUUAGGGUAUGGAGUGGCUGUAUGUUAUUAGGGUAUAGAGUGGCUGUAUGGUAUGGAGUGGCUGUAUGUUAUUAGGCUAUAGAGUGGCUGUAUGUUAUUAGGGUAUAGAGUGGCUGUAUGUUACUAAGCCCUUGCAGAUAAACCACAUGAUCAAAAUCGCAUCAUUUCAUGUUUGCAACAUCAUAAGAGGGUGGCAGAGCUUCAAACAGGAAGCUACCAUCCAAGCACAACGUUUUUUUUCCUGUUUUGAUGUUAAAGUUAUAAAACUGCCAUAAAUAAGGCACUGCCAAAUUCUGAUGUAUAUGUACAUACUAUGUACUGGUGUAUAUGUACAUACUAUGUACUGGUGUAUAUGUACAUACUAUGUACUGGUGUAUAUGUACAUACUAUGUACUGAUGUAUAUGUACAUACUAUGUACUGGUGUAUAUGUACAUACUAUGUACUGGUGCAUCAAAAUACAUACAAAAGUUGCCAAUAUCGUAUUUUAAUUUUGUAAUUUUGUAUUUUUUGUUAUUGUCCCGCCAUACCAACCCUAGCUAGCUAAAGUAGGACAGCACAGUGUAGUUAAAGAAGGACAGCACAGUGUAGCUAAAGUAAGACAGCACAGUGUAGUUAAAGAAGGACAGCACAGUGUAGCUGAAGUAGGACAGCACAGUGUAGCUAAAGUAGGACAGCACAGUGUAGUUAAAGAAGGACAGCACAGUGUAGCUAAAGUAAGUAGGACAGCACAGUGUAGUUAAAGAAGGACAGCACAGUGUAGUUGAAGUAAGUAGGACAGCACAGUGUAGUUAAAGAAGGACAGCACAGUGUAGUUAAAGAAGGACAGCACAGUGUAG